rnacentral:rRNA from 1 species
AUUGAACGCUGGCGGCAUGCCCUACACAUGCAAGUCGAACGGCAGCGGGGGAGAAGCUUGCUUUUCCUGCCGGCGAGUGGCGAACGGGUGAGUAAUACAUCGGAACGUGCCCUGUAGUGGGGGAUAACUAGUCGAAAGAUUAGCUAAUACCGCAUACGACCUGAGGGUGAAAGUGGGGGACAGCAAGGCCUCAUGCUAUAGGAGCGGCCGAUGUCUGAUUAGCUAGUUGGUGGGGUAAAGGCCUACCAAGGCGACGAUCAGUAGCUGGUCUGAGAGGACGAUCAGCCACACUGGGACUGAGACACGGCCCAGACUCCUACGGGAGGCAGCAGUGGGGAAUUUUGGACAAUGGGCGAAAGCCUGAUCCAGCAAUGCCGCGUGUGUGAAGAAGGCCUUCGGGUUGUAAAGCACUUUUGUCCGGAAAGAAAUGGCUCUGGUUAAUACCUGGGGUCGAUGACGGUACCGGAAGAAUAAGGACCGGCUAACUACGUGCCAGCCGCCGCGGUAA